CCUACGGGAGGCAGCAGUGAGGAAUAUUGGUCAAUGGGCGGAAGCCUGAACCAGCCAAGUAGCGUGCGGGAUGAAGGCCCUACGGGUCGUAAACCGCUUUUGCACGGGGAUAACACCCUCCACUUGUGGAGGUCUGCAGUUACCGUUCGAAUAAGGGCCGGCUAAUUCCGUGCCAGCAGCCGCGGUAAUACGGAAGGCCCGAGCGUUGUCCGGGUUCAUUGGGCUUAAAGGGAGCGUAGGCGGGCGUUUAAGUCAGCUGUAAAAGCGCGCGGCUCAACCGCCCCCCGCAGUUGAAACUGGACGCCUUGAGUUCACAACAGGCAGGCGGAAUUCGUGGUGUAGCGGUGAAAUGCAUAGAUAUCACGAGGAACCCCGAUUGCGAAGGCAGCCUGCCGGGGUGCGACUGACGCUGAGGCUCGAAGGUGCGGGUAUCAAACAGGAUUAGAUACCCUUGUAGUC
rnacentral:rRNA from 1 species